rnacentral:rRNA from 1 species
UUGGAGGGCAAGUCUGGUGCCAGCAGCCGCGGUAAUUCCAGCUCCAAUAGCGUAUAUUAAAGUUGUUGCAGUUAAAAAGCUCGUAGUUGAAUUUCGGGGUUAGUAGGUUGGUCAUGCCUCUGGUAUGUACUGAUCUCACUGAUUCCUCCUUCCUUAUGAACCGUAAUGCCAUUAAUUUGGUGUUGCGGGAAAUUUGGACUGUUACUUUGAAAAAAUUAGAGUGUUUAAAGCAGGCUAACGCUUGAAUACAUUAGCAUGGAAUAAUGAAAUAGGACGUUCGAUCUUAUUUUGUUGGUUUCUAGGAUUGACGUAAUGAAUAAUAGGGAUAGUUGGGGGCAUUAGUAUUCAAUUGUCAGAGGUGAAAUUCUUGGAUUUAUUGAAGACUAACUACUGCGAAAGCAUUUGCCAAGGAUGCUUUCAUUAAUCAAGAACGAAAGUUAGGGGAUCGAAGACGAUCAGAUACCGUCGUAGUCUUAACCAUAAACUAUGCCGACUAGGGAUCGGAUGAUGUUAAUUUUUUAAUGACUCAUUCGGCACCUUACGGGAAAC